GACGAACGCUGGCGGCGUGCUUAACACAUGCAAGUCGAACGGAAAGGCCCUGCUUUUGUGGGGUGCUCGAGUGGCGAACGGGUGAGUAACACGUGAGUAACCUGCCCUUGACUUUGGGAUAACUUCAGGAAACUGGGGCUAAUACCGGAUAGGAGCUCCUGCUGCAUGGUGGGGGUUGGAACGUUUCGGCGGUUGGGGAUGGACUCGCGGCUUAUCAGCUUGUUGGUGGGGUAGUGGCAGACCAAGGCUUUGACGGGUAGCCGGCCUGAGAGGGUGACCGGCCACAUUGGGACUGAGGUACGGCCCAGACUCCUACGGGAGGCAGCAGUGGGGAAUAUUGCACAAUGGGCGGAAGCCUGAUGCAGCGACGCCGCGUGCGGGAUGACGGCCUUCGGGUUGUAAACCGCUUUCGCCUGUGACGAAGCGUGAGUGACGGUAAUGGGUAAAGAAGCACCGGCUAACUACGUG
rnacentral:rRNA from 1 species